GUUGGUGGGUAAUUGCGUGUUGCUGAUGUAACAUGAGGAAAGUCCAUGCUCGCACUGACUGUGAUGUCAGUAGUGUUCGUGCUAGCUGAAAAAAUAAGGCUAGGCAGCCAGAAAUGGUUGACGGCCAAUGAAAGACCUAAAGGUAACUAUGGUUGAGUAGUUGUGAAAGUGCCACAGAAACGAGCCAGUGUAGAAAUAUAUUGGAUGGAACGCGGUAAACCCCUCGAGCGGGCAACCCAAACUUUGGUAGGGGCGCUUGAUCUAGUGAACUGAAACGAUGAUCGGGGAGACUUAAUUGUCUGAGAUAGAUGAUUACCACUACUUAAUUAAUUGCCAAUUUUUAAGUAGAACAAAACAUGGCUUAUAGCU
rnacentral:RNase_P_RNA from 1 species